GCCGGUGUAGCUCAGUGGUAGAGCAGCUGUUUUGUAAACAGCAGGUCGUGGGUUCAAUUCCUAUCACCGGCU
rnacentral:tRNA from 1 species